rnacentral:rRNA from 1 species
UGCGUAGGUGGUGAGGUAAGUCGGAUGUGAAAGCUCGGAGCUCAACUCCGAAAUGGCAUUGGAAACUACCUUGCUCGAGGGUUGGAGGGGGGACUGGAAUACUUGGUGUAGCAGUGAAAUGCGUAGAUAUCAAGUGGAACACCAGUGGCGAAGGCGAGUCCCUGGACAACUCCUGACACUGAGGCACGAAAGCUAGGGGAGCAAACAGGAUUAGAUACCCUGGUAGUCCUAGCCGUAAACGGUGCAUGUUUGCUGUAAAAGGAAUCGACCCCUUUUGUGGCGGAGCCAACGCGUUAAACAUGCCGCCUGGGAAGUACGGUCGCAAGAUUAAA